GCUGGGUGUGGUGGUGCGCACCUGUAAUCCCAGCUUCUCGGGAAGCUGAGGCAGGAGAAUCACUUGAGCCUGGGAGGCGGAGGUUGCAGUGGGACAAGAUCGCGCCACUGCACUCCAGCUUGGGUAACAGAGUGAGACUCUGUCUCAA
rnacentral:SRP_RNA from 1 species